rnacentral:rRNA from 1 species
AUUGAACGCUGGCGGCAUGCUUUACACAUGCAAGUCGAGCGGCAGCGCGGGGGCAACCCUGGCGGCGAGCGGCGAACGGGUGAGUAAUGCAUCGGAACGUACCCUGGAGUGGGGGGAUAACGCCGCGAAAGCGGCGCUAAUACCGCAUAUGCUCUGAGGAGGAAAGUGGGGGACCUGCAAGGGCCUCACGCUCUGGGAGCGGCCGAUGUCCGAUUAGCUAGUUGGUGGGGUAGAGGCUUACCAAGGCGACGAUCGGUAGCUGGUCUGAGAGGAUGAUCAGCCACACUGGGACUGAGACACGGCCCAGACUCCUACGGGAGGCAGCAGUGGGGAAUUUUGGACAAUGGGGGCAACCCUGAUCCAGCCAUGCCGCGUGAGUGAAGAAGGCCU